AGUGAACGCUGGCGGUAGGCCUAACACAUGCAAGUCGAACGGCAGCACAGUAAGAGCUUGCUCUUACGGGUGGCGAGUGGCGGACGGGUGAGGAAUACAUCGGAAUCUACUUUUUCGUGGGGGAUAACGUAGGGAAACUUACGCUAAUACCGCAUACGACCUACGGGAGAAAGCAGGGGAUCUUCGGACCUUGCGCGAUCGAAUGAGCCGAUGUCGGAUUAGCUAGUUGGCGGGGUAAAGGCCCACCAAGGCGACGAUCCGUAGCUGGUCUGAGAGGAUGAUCAGCCACACUGGAACUGAGACACGGUCCAGACUCCUACGGGAGGCAGCAGUGGGGAAUAUUGGACAAUGGGCGCAAGCCUGAUCCAGCCAUACCGCGUGGGUGAAGAAGGCCUUCGGGUUGUAAAGCCCUUUUGUUGGGAAAGAAAAGCAGCAGGUUAAUACCCCGCUGUUCUGACGGUACCCAAAGAAUAAGCACCGGCUAACUUCGUG
rnacentral:rRNA from 1 species